GCGGGAAUAGCUCAGUGGUAGAGCACAACCUUGCCAAGGUUGGGGUCGCGGGUUCAAGUCCCGUUUCCCGCU
rnacentral:tRNA from 1 species